UACGGAGGAUUCGAGCGUUAUCCGGAUUUAUUGGGUUUAAAGGGUGCGUAGGCGGAGUGGUAAGUCAGCUGUGAAAGUUUGCGGCUCAACCGUGAAAUUGCAGUUGAUACUGUUGAGCUUGAGUAUACAUGAGGUUAGCGGAAUGUGAGGUGUAGCGGUGAAAUGCGUAGAUAUGGCACAGAACUCCAAUUGCGAAGGCAGCUCACUGGGGUA
rnacentral:rRNA from 1 species